GACGAACGCUGGCGGCGUGCUUAAUACAUGCAAGUCAACGACUUUUAGAGUAGCAAUAUUUUAAAAGGAGUGGCGCACGGUGAGUAACACGUAGGUAAUCUGCCUUCAGGACUGACACAACUCGUCGAAAGACGGGCUAAUAUCAGAUAAUGCAGCGGCUCCGCAUGGAGACAGUUGUUAAAGUACAAGCGCCUGAAGAUGAGCCUGCGGUCCAUUAGCUAGUUGUAGAGUAACAGCCUACCAAGGCAACGAUGAUAGCUGGUCUGAGAGGAUGAUCAGCCA
rnacentral:rRNA from 1 species